rnacentral:rRNA from 1 species
GGUGAGUAAUGUCUGGGAAACUGCCUGAUGGAGGGGGAUAACUACUGGAAACGGUAGCUAAUACCGCAUAACGUCGCAAGACCAAAGAGGGGGACCUUCGGGCCUCUUGCCAUCGGAUGUGCCCAGAUGGGAUUAGCUAGUAGGUGGGGUAACGGCUCACCUAGGCGACGAUCCCUAGCUGGUCUGAGAGGAUGACCAGCCACACUGGAACUGAGACACGGUCCAGACUCCUACGGGAGGCAGCAGUGGGGAAUAUUGCACAAUGGGCGCAAGCCUGAUGCAGC